UGGGGAAUAUUGGACAAUGGGCGAAAGCCUGAUCCAGCAAUGCCGCGUGAGUGAUGAAGGCCUUAGGGUUGUAAAGCUCUUUUGCCCGGGAUGAUAAUGACAGUACCGGGAGAAUAAGCCUCGGCUAACUCCGUGCCAGCAGCCGCGGUAAUACGGAGGGGGCUAGCGUUGUUCGGAAUUACUGGGCGUAAAGCGCACGUAGGCGGCUUUGUAAGUUAGAGGUGAAAGCCCGGGGCUCAACUCCGGAAUUGCCUUUAAGACUGCAUCGCUAGAAUUGUGGAGAGGUAAGUGGAAUUCCGAGUGUAGAGGUGAAAUUCGUAGAUAUUCGGAAGAACACCAGUGGCGAAGGCGACUUACUGGACACAUAUUGACGCUGAGGUGCGAAAGCGUGGGGAGCAAACA
rnacentral:rRNA from 1 species